UCGCUUGGAUGAUAACAAUUUCACAAUUUUUAUAUAUAUAUAAUAAAUAAUAGAAUUUUUCAUAUAUGAACAGUACACGGAUUGUGUGACCCAAAAAUUCCAGAAAUACCUCGCGUUUUAUCAAGAAUCAACACAACGUCGAUCUAAAAGCUGAAGCAACGAGAUUCCGUCUAAGAGAAUUGGGUCAAAGACAUGGGCACGAGUUCCCUACCUUGUGGAUCAUCGUCUGCCAGCGGUAUGCUGUUCAUGUCAUCCAGAAGCUUGUCUGUCAUCGACGUGGACAUCUUGACGCGUAGGAUGCUCUACGAGAGAAAUAACACACUUCCAAGCAAACCUGCGCGCAAGUACAACGUUUGACCCUUGAAGUUUAUCGAUUUCCACGGGAAACCCACACGAGACCGUUGCCACGUUUGUUGAAAAAGAUACAAGAUAUGAUCGAUCGUUAUACCCUAAGUGACAAAUCGUAUAAUCGAAAAGUUUACUAACUAAAUUCUUGAAAAUAUCAAUUCAAUUUCUAGAUGAUUCAACGACUUAAUGUCGUUUGACACUGCUCUUGCUCGCCAUUUGCUUUCUUGAUGACACCUACAGGCACCGAGUCCUACUAUUCUAUGUGAUAAUACAUGGAUAAUACUAUGGGAAUUACCAUCUGGAUAAGAAAAAUGGACUUUCAUGUGAUUUCACUAUUUUAGAAGGGCCUAGGUAUGUGUGGAAAAGAUUGACUGAGAAAAGUAGAGUAAUAAUAUAGCGCCCCUAUAGUUCUAUGCAAACAACAAAUGGACUACACUCCGAACUUUUCGACGGUAGAUAUGCUGAUUAAUUGAGACAGAGGAACAUAGAUUACAAAUAUGCAUGAAUAGACAGAUGAAUUGAAAAUUAAAAAUGCGGUUUGAAAAUUUGACAAAAAUGUUCUGACUUCUAAUUUUAAGAUCAGAUGAUUACAGCAAGAGAAGUAUAAGCUCAGAUUUCGAGGUUCAGCAAUUGUGGCAUCUUAGAUUUCCUAAUUGCAUAAUUAUGAAACAUAAACACAUAUUUUGAGCUUGAUCUACGAUAAUAUGAGGCAGUGAAAAUGUAGUAGAAUGUUCAGGUUUCAAGAUUAUUCUGUUAUUACAGUUGACAUUAUUAAUAUACGUUGAGGUAAUACAAGUUUCUUGAGAGUUUAUAAUGAUCUUCCAUUUUAUAGAUUUCAACUGUUCUAUUCCACAAUUGCAAUUGUACUUUUUAAAAUAUCAAAACUACUUGUUUUAAUGAAAUAUGAUCACCAUAUUUUAAGAGAUAUAAGGAACAGAUACAGUAACGGUUCUCACUGCAUACGAUUCGAUUUUUCUUUAAAUCAGUUAUCCUCUAUACAUUAUACAUUCUCUGUUGCAUAAAUUUCAUAUUAAAUAAAAUAGCACAUUAUUUACACGAACAAUUAUCUCUUUAAUAUUGUAUAUAUGUAGUUUCAUUUUCAAAAGAACUGUAAAUUUUCUUUUUAUAAAGAAUCGAAUGAGAAUCACUUAAAGUCGGUAAUAACAAGAAGCUGAUCCAGUAUCUCGUUUCCAAGAAUUUUUGUGGGUCAACCGAAUCAUUCAUUUUCACGUAUAUGAUGCAAAUUUUUUAUAGUAGUCUAGUAUUACGCGUAGUGUGUAUCUUCAAAGAAUUUAAAGCCGAGGGAUUCGGAGCUAUCUUCGAAAUGCAAAAUGAACUGCAUGAUGUCCUCGAAAAUAUUGAGAA